rnacentral:rRNA from 1 species
UACGUAGGGGGCAAGCGUUGUCCGGAAUCAUUGGGCGUAAAGCGCGUGUAGGCGGCCAGAAAAGUCCGCUGUGAAAACUCGAGGCUCAACUUCGAGCUGUCGGUGGAAACUUUCUGGCUAGAGUCCGGAAGAGGAGAAUGGAAUUCCUGGUGUAGCGGUGAAAUGCGCAGAUAUCAGGAAGAACACCCGUGGCGAAGGCGGUUCUCUGGGACGGUACUGACGCUGAGGCGCGAAAGCCAGGGGAGCGAACGGG